AAGGUGUCAACUAUAAAUGACAUGCAGGAGUUUGCAGAGAUUUUUAGUUUUUAGUUUUGCAUGACGCCAACUUUUACGUAAUUAGCAUUUUCGAAUUAGAAAAGAGCGACUAUUGAUAAAUCUUGCCAAUAGAGAUUUACAUGGUUAUCUAAACGUCACGCCACGGUAUGCUUACGUGAAACAGCAUAUCUAAAAUCCCCUAUGGGAAAAAGUCCAGUUUCCAUAUUGUUAUAUUGUCCAUCUAAACGUUGACAACGUUCUACACAGCUUCCACCUUUAAAAUGAGUCAUGUCAAUCUAAAAAGUGGGUAGGUCUGUUACAGCCAAGUUGACUAUUCUAAAUGAGUGAGUAUGGAGCUAACCUGAAACCUCACGCGGGCCUUGAUUUUCGAGCCAUCCUGGCAGGCUUUGACGCCCUCGGUCAUAACUGAUUGGCCAGGAUGAAGAUGCCAGCCUCGGCUGCCUGGAAGAGGGCGUAGAGCAGAGGGAACAUAUACAUGCCCCCCAUCAGCUGUGGUGGGAAGGUCAUCUUCAGGAUGGCUGUGCAGAGCUGCACGUUCUGGCACCCGGUCUCCAGGGACACGGUCCUGCGGAUGUUGGGCGGGAGAUCGAAGAGGGUGGCCAGGCCGUAGCCUGCAGCGUAGCCACAGGCAGGCAUCAGGACAGCUACCACAUAGACAGAUGGAGGGAUGGUGGCCAGCAGCUCUGGCCCCAACAUGACCCCCGUCAUGAUGAACAGCAUCACCAGGGUCACCAGCAGAGACCACAGGGACACCUGGGGAAACAUACCCCAUGGGGUCAACACAAGUUUUAUGACAGGCCUUCUCUAUAUCCAGAUUGUUUUAGGAAGGUGGAAAGGGAAGGAACAAUGGACUAAUUUUCAGGAUAUUCAAACAGAACCAAUAUUAUAAAGGACCAAGGGAAAGCCACAAGUAAGCAUGGUCCACUUAAAUCUAUCUGAUUUCAUGUAUCCCUUCCCCUCUGUGGAUUUCUCAUCCAGUUCUAUGAUCCCCUCUGUGGAUUUCUUAUCCAGUUCUAUGAUUCUGUCAUGCCUCUCCCUCUCCUGGUUGAGCUGCCUUUAGAUGAGUUCAUCUGAAGUGGAAGGGCUCUCCCUGACUCUACAGUGCAUCUCUGCCUCUGAUGUUACCUUUGUCUCAACAGAAAGCUAGACAUGCACAAUGUCACACUCUGAUGACACACAGUCAAAAGGUACACAACUGACUAUUAUAAAAAAUGUAAUUUAUUUUACUAGCCAAACUACCCCGUUUUAAUAAAAAAAUAUAUACUA